UACGUAGGGGGCAAGCGUUGUCCGGAAUCAUUGGGCGUAAAGAGCGUGUAGGCGGCCAGAAAAGUCCGCUGUGAAAACUCGAGGCUCAACUUCGAGCUGUCGGUGGAAACUUUCUGGCUAGAGUCCGGAAGAGGAGAAUGGAAUUCCUGGUGUAGCGGUGAAAUGCGCAGAUAUCAGGAAGAACACCCGUGGCUAAGGCGGCUCUCUAGUACGUGACUGACGCUGAGACGCGAAAGCGUGGGGAGCGAACAGG
rnacentral:rRNA from 1 species